rnacentral:rRNA from 1 species
GAGUUUGAUCAUGGCUCAGAUUGAACGCUGGCGGCAGGCUUAACACAUGCAAGUCGAGCGGAGAUGAGGUGCUUGCACCUUAUCUUAGCGGCGGACGGGUGAGUAAUGCUUAGGAAUCUGCCUAUUAGUGGGGGACAACAUUCCGAAAGGGAUGCUAAUACCGCAUACGUCCUACGGGAGAAAGCAGGGGAUCUUCGGACCUUGCGCUAAUAGAUGAGCCUAAGUCGGAUUAGCUAGUUGGUGGGGUAAAGGCCUACCAAGGCGACGAUCUGUAGCGGGUCUGAGAGGAUGAUCCGCCACACUGGGACUGAGACACGGCCCAGACUCCUACGGGAGGCAGCAGUGGGGAAUAUUGGACAAGUGGGGGGAACCCUGAUCCAGCCAUGCCGCGUGUGUGAGAAGGCCUUAUGGUUGUAAGCUACUUUAAGCGAGGAGGAGGCUACUGAGACUAAUACUCUUGGAUAGUGGACGUUACUCGCAGAAAUAAGCACCGGCUAACUCUGUG